rnacentral:rRNA from 1 species
UAAUACGUAGGUGGCAAGCGUUGUCCGGAAUUAUUGGGCGUAAAGCGCGCGCAGGUGGGAUCUUAAGUCUGUUCUGAAAGUUCGGAGCUUAACUCCGUGAUGGGAUGGAAACUGGGAUUCUUGAGUAUCGGAGAGGAAAGCGGAAUUCCCCGUGUAGCGGUGAAAUGCGUAGAUAUGGGGAGGAACACCAGUGGCGAAGGCGGCUUUCUGGACGAUGUCUGACACUGAGGCGCGAAAGCUAGGGGAGCGAACGGGAUUAGAUACCCCGGUAGUCCUAGCCGUAAACGAUGGGUACUAGGUGUGGGGGGUGUCAACUCCUCCCGUGCCGGCGCUAACGCAAUAAGUACCCCGCCUGGGGAGUACGGCCGCAAGGUUGAAACUCAAAUGAAUUGACGG